rnacentral:tRNA from 1 species
AAAAUUUUAAGUUAUAUAAACUAUUAGUCUUCAAAACUAAAAAUGAAAAAAAUUCAAAUUUUG